GCCGCUAUGGUGAAACUGGUAGACACGCUGCUCUUAGGAAGCAGUGCUAACGCAUCUCGGUUCGAAUCCGAGUAGCGG
rnacentral:tRNA from 1 species